UUCGCGGGUUCAAUUCCCGUCGUGCGGAUGUAGCCAAGUGGAUUAAGGCAGUGGAUUGUGAAUCCACCA
rnacentral:tRNA from 1 species